AUUGAACGCUGGCGGCAGGCCUAACACAUGCAAGUCGAGCGAGCGGCGGACGGGUGAGUAAUGUCUGGGAAACUGCCUGAUGGAGGGGGAUAACUACUGGAAACGGUAGCUAAUACCGCAUACCAUCAGAUGUGCCCAGAUGGGCUUAGCUAGUAGGUGUGGUAACGGCUCACCUAGGCGACGCUCCCUAGCUGGUCUGAGAGGAUGACCAGCCACACUGGAACUGAGCACCGGUCCGGACUCCUACGAGAGGCAGCAUUGGGGAAUAUUGCACAAUGGGCGCAAGCCUAAUGCAGCCAUGCCGCGUGUGUGAAGAAGGCCUUCGGGUUGUAAAGCACUUUCAGCGGGGGGGCGUUACCCGCAGAAGAAGCACCGGCUAACUCCGUGCCAGCAGCCGCGGUAAUUC
rnacentral:rRNA from 1 species